rnacentral:lncRNA from 1 species
AGCAAAUGGAGAAAAGGCUGUCCUUGGCCACCCUGAAUCAUUCUUUUUCCCUCCUCCCCUGUUUCCUCCGAACCCCUUUCAGCCUCCUCCGUUGCUUCCUCCCAUACUGCCACCACCAGCUCCACUUAUUCCAAACCCAUUUCAGCCUCCUCCAGCUCCACUUAUUCCAAACCCCUUUCAGCCUCCUCCAGCUCCUCUUAUUCCAAACCCUUUUCAGCCUCCUCCAGCCCCACCGGCUCCACUUAUUCCAAACCCUUUUCAGCCUCCUCCCGCACCACCGGCUCCACUUAUUCCAAACCCUUUCCAGCCUCCUCCCGCACCUCCAGCUCCAUUUAUCCCAAACCCCUUCCAGCCUCCUUCGGCACCUCCAGCACCUCCAGCACCAUGGUUUCAUCUUCCACCGAUUCCAGGACUAACUCCACCACCAUCGCCACCACCUCCACCUCCACCAACCUUCCCGUUUCCUCUUCCCCCAUUCCAUUUCCCACCUAUACCGCCUUUCCCUGGUAUCCCCCCUGCCUCUGC